GAGCACGUAGGUGGGUUUGUAAGUCGGUUGUGAAAGCCUUCCGCUCAACGGGAGAACGGCAUUCGAUACUGCAUGGCUUGAGUGCGGGAGGGGAGAGUGGAACUUCUGGUGGAGCGGUGAAAUGCGUAGAUAUCAGGAGGAACACCGGCGGCGAAGGCGACUCUCUGGCCCGUAACUGGCGCUGAGUGUGCGAAAGCUAGGGGAGCAAACGGGAUUAGAUACCCCGGUAGUCCUAGCCGUAAACGAUGGGCACUAAGUAGAGAAUCGUC
rnacentral:rRNA from 1 species